UGCUGUGAUGAAUUUGCUCGGACUAGAGUCUCUGACUCUUUCAGUGAUGUUUUUCUAAGCCCUGAGCU
rnacentral:snoRNA from 1 species